rnacentral:tRNA from 1 species
GCCUGGCUGGCUCAGUUGGUGGAGCGUGUGACUCUUGAUCUCAGGGUUGUGAGUUUGAGCCCCACCUGGGUG